AUUGCAGGCUGCAACCCGCCCUGCAUGAAGUUGGAAUCACUAGUAAUCGCGGAUCAGCAUGCCGCGGUGAAUGCGUUCUCGGGCCUUGUACACACCGCCCGUCACACCAUGAGAGUCGGGAACACCCGAAGUCCGUAGCCUAACCGCAAGGGGGGCGCGGCCGAAGGUGGGCUCGAUAAUUGGGGUGAAGUCGUAACAAGGUAAC
rnacentral:rRNA from 1 species